UUACUUCAUUCAACAUUUAUUGUGACGCCCUGUGCGAGGGACAGAGUUGAGUAAGGCAGGGUCCCUGCCCUCAAGGAACUCAGUCUGGGGCCCAUCCCUAUGGCCACAGAGUCCGUGCCAUGUGAGAUGCUGCAGUGGGAGAGCAAACACAGGGCUAGAGGCAGAGGAACGGCUGUCUUAGCUCAGGGAGGGGUGUGGACCCUCACACGCCACGACUCAUAGUGCAGUGGAGCUCCCCAGACAGCUAAGGAGGCCCGGUGCAGCCAAGGAGGCGUCAAGAUCUGGACAAGCAGGACGUGUUCAGGAAAUGGCAAAAAAGUGGCUCCAUCCUGGGGACAAAGGGAGGGAGGCGGGGGCAAGAUGGUGAAAGAAACUUCAUGGAACAUGGGGCUUUGGCAAGGGACGCCUUGGAGGCCCCUUAGAAGUGAUCUCGUCAAAGAUGUGUUUUAGAGGGAAAACACUGGCAGGAAUGGAAGAGACGAAAAGUUUAGGCAGGAGAUGAUGGGCUGAAGCAGGGAAGUAAGAUGGAGAACAGAGGAUGAAUUCCAGAUGAAGAAGCAGGUCACCACAGGUUGGCCGGGGUCGGGGCAGGCGGUCAGGACCAACUCAGCAAGAGGAGAGGAGCUGGACUCUACGCCGAACGCCACGCUGGGUGUUUCCCACUCUCCAUCUCCACAGGAAUCGUCGCCAUUGUACAGACGAUGCUUGGAGAAGUGGAGGGACUUUUCUGGUGGCACAACUAGAUUACACAGUUAAGCUUCAAACCCAGCUCAACACUUUUAACCAUCACGCUAUAUGGGAAAUCUAGACAGAUGAAUAGCCAGCUGUUUCGGAGAAUGAUCUGGAGCUUGGGGGGAAAUUCACCACGAGAGAUAGACAUCUGGAAGCCCUCAAGGUAAAUAUAGCCGGUGGUUGAGGCCGCAGGUGCAGCUAAAACCGUCCAGCAAGAAAAAAGCCAAGGAUGGAGCGGGAAGAAGACUCAGAGUUAGGAGAACGGGAGGGGCGGGGGCAGAGCAGAGAGCCAGAAAGGGAAAUGGAGGCGGCAGUGAUGUCGACGGAAUUCCAUGAAGAGCACCAGACACUGCAAAGCACAGGUGUGACUGGGACCAAAGGAGGAAGGCUUUUAGCCAGACUGGCCUCCCCACUGUAGUGGUGGAGGUGCCGAGCAAGCAGCCAGGGCUAAGAGCAGUGCGGGGAUGGGGCUGAGGGCUUGAGGAACUUGGUUUUUAAAAACGUCACCUUGAACGUUGCAUCCAGAACCAUAAACGGAGAGCUCCAGGCAGCACGGUUAUGCAAUAUGCUCCAGCUGCACUUGGCAGCUCAGGCCCACAGGCAAACAGAAUGGACAGUUGUGGAGCAGGGCAGAAGGGCAUGGAGGACUCCGGACUCUUCUAGAGAGAAGAACCGCCCUUUCUGAGACACCAGUAAAGACGUUUAAAAAAAAAAAAAAAACUCAAAAAUAUUUGGAGGACCCAUUUGGAAUUUUUAAACAAAAAACAAGCCAUGGUUUAUCUCUGCAUGAUAUAAAAAGAUGUGGUAAACAGAUAACUAAUGUUAACAAACUUAGCUCAAAAAGAAUAAACUAUUUUUAAGCACCUCAAGGUACUGCUGGAACAGGAUGCAAAAUGAUACACUGUGAUUAUCCUCUUUACUUGUAAAGCUGAUUCCCCAAACAUUUUUACCUUAGCAAAUAGUUUGAGAGACUGUUCAGAAAAAGAAUAAAGGAGCAUUUAUGUCUAUGCCGUUAUUCAGACUGGCUGCCAUUCUGAUUCGGUAAAAGCAAGAUUUUACAGGACAGAACAGCACCUGCAUGUUUUUGGAGCACUGGCUAAGCUGGCCUCUCAUUCUUUUUACACUACACCUCAGAGCACAUCCGUAUCCCCAUUUUGCAAGUGGGGACACCAAAGCCAGAGAGGUGAAGGGGCCUGUUCCAGGCCACCGUGUUCACUGGUCUCCAACUCCAAAGCUCUCUCCUCCACCCAUUCUGAAGUGGGGCACUCUAGGGCCAUUCCCCACGCCCUGCUCCCCACUUCUCAUCUCCAACUUUGGGAUAGCACUGGCAAGGGGACAACCUAGUAACACAGGUCUAAGCCUGCACUCCCGCCGCCGCCAGCUGGUCCUUCCUGUAAAAUACUCCUAAGAAGCCCUCAAUCACUAGGCCUGUGACGGCACCUAUGAGCACUCUCCCAGCCAAGGCUCCCUCCUCCAGAUCCCUACCUCCCCAGGAUCACAGGGUUACAUGCAACUUUUUCCUACAAUAAAACUAAAGCAGCCAACACACUUAUUGGGCACCUACUUGCUGCCAUGGACUCUGCUGAGAACUUUACAUGUUACCUUAGCUUUGCAACAACCCAGCAAAAAACAGGUAUUCUUGAGUUCCCACUGUGGCUCAGCAGGUUAAGAAUCCGACUAGCAUCCAUGAGGAUGUGGGUUCGAGCCCUAACCUCACUCAGUAGAUUAAGGAUCCAGCACUGCCUUGAGCUGCAGCACAGGUCGCAGGCAUUGCUGGGAUCUAGCAUUGCUGUGGCUGUGGUCCAGGCCAGCAGCUGCAGCUUCGAUUCGACCCCUAGCCUGGGAACCUCCACAUACUGCAGGUGUGGCCCUAAAAAGACCAAAAAAAAAAAACAAAAAAACAAAAAAAGAAGGUAUUCUUAUCCCAGUUUUACGAAUGAGGAUAACUGAGGCUCGGAAAGGCUAUGUGACCUGCCCAAAGUCACUCAGCUACCUGUGGAAGCAGUACUCACAAGUCUGCCAGCCUCUAGCACCCACUUUAUUUUUACUCUACCACACAGCCCCGGCUCCCCACUCGACAAGUGCCUAGAGACCUGAGGGGAAAAAGAAAAGUAAGGCAAAAGGCAUAAGCCUUUUCGUUUCCACUGCCUGGCCCUCAAGUGACUCUGGGGAGGCUAAUCCCAUGGAGCUUUUUGCUCUGCUGGCGGCCUCACCAGCCCAGGGCCCUGGGAAGCUGACAGCAGUCAAAGGGCCCCCUAGAAGGCUUGUCCUGGCAGCUGCCCAGCUGACUUGUGCUAACACAGCAACAGGCACAGGAAAGGCUCAGGAGAGAGUGGAAAAGCACCAGACACGGGGCGGCUGAGGGCAGAGAAGUGAUUCCUGCCGUGCUCAGAUAGGAUAACAGGCUCUGACCGCCAGCAUCAGGCCGAGAAGAGAUGGGGUGGGGGUGAGUGCCAAGCAAAAAGCCCCAAGCACAUCUCAGUGUUAAUGUGACUGUUGGGCUGAUCCCAAAGAGGGUCACAUGCCUCCAAGGUGAAUCAGCAGCUAUGGAAGCAAACUGGUCCGUGCCUGGGUUUGUUUCAGCAAGCCUGGCCUGCCUUUGCCACAGCCUCAGAAGCCCUGCUACCUGAGGUCUCC
rnacentral:lncRNA from 1 species